AUGGAUACAACUCACAGACCCUCGAAGAGGUGGACGUCAGGCUUUAGCCCUUUUCAGCUCGGGAGUCUAGAGAAGGUGUAUAUGUCACGACAACUGUGGUCUUCUUCACCAGGGCAGACUUCCCAGACCAACACUCAACACGGUCACCUCCAACCGUGGAAACACUCCCACGACGACUCAGAGCCUCAAGCUCAGACCUGUAGGACUAGUAACAGACAGAGUUCCUUCACAAAUUUACUUAGCUUCAGUGAAUAUAUGGAGAAAGACACACCACCUCUCGAAUUUGACCAAGAGUGGAUAGAAGUACAGAUUGAAGUUGCUGCACGUUGGGCCUUCCACGAGCUGGUGCCACCACACUGGGUGACUUCAGGUAGGUUUGUGCCACCGGGUAUGUACCUCAGGAAUGACUCGAACGCUUCCCUCUCCUCUCUUCCAAACAACGGACCAGAGAUCUAGACAGGGGCGAACCUCUGAAAGUACUCCACAAACAGGUAUUCAUACACAAGGGCUACACAGCUGGAUGUUCAGCCAACACUUCUCUCAGUCGUCGUCCACCACAAUAUGCACACUGUUCCUUACUUGCUAUUGUUGACACGUCGCCACUCGGCGGAGUAGGGGUCCAAAGCCGCGAGCGGGCAUGUAUAUAAAAGACGGUCGUCUCACAACACCGGUGCACGUUCUUCUCCACAGGGUUUUCUCUCCCAGCCUAGAGGGUGAUUACUGACAACAUGACACAGCACGACACUGCAGACUUCAAGUAUACACACAGCAAAGAAAAGGACUCGCCCACUGCACUCCACACACUCACAGUGAAUUAGGGUCAAAACCACAUAGGACCGGGGAUUAGUUCCUGGACGUUGGGGGCACCGAUGCAGCAGACGGCCAGAGGGAACGUCACAGCCACGACAAGGCACCAGACUCCUUUUUCGCUGGUUCCGGCUCACCCACCAAUCCUAUUACGGUGGGGCCGCUCACACUGGUCACAACUCACAAGGGAUAUAUGGAUAUUCCACACUUGCAAAAUAACUGUUGACUUUCAUUAACACUGGAUCUCUCCACUUCUCUUCCAGAUAACCGACAAAACUGGCAGCACGAUCUCCUUCCUGCAAUCCUAGCAGAUCUUCAAUGUGUGUUAACUUCACAUCACACAAUGCAUCUGAACACAAUGCUCCAAUAAAGAUAUUCGUAUACUCAGCCCUGUAUGUGUAUCUCUCUUUGCCCAAGCUCCGCAGUACACCAUACACUCUCUCUCCAACUCUCUCCUCCGCUCCGUUGCACCCACAGUAACUACUGGGAAUCAUCAGGCACUUCCUGUGUUUCUGAUGCCCUAUUUAUGUGUCUCCUCUUCACCAAAUUGCCCAAUCAGUGAUCGCCACGCUCAACAAGACACCCGUUCCCAAUAACACGCCGAUUUGUGUUCGCCGGCGUUCCCGGAAGUGGCGGUGUUUGCGAUAUAUGGUCCGGGCGGACUAAUCUUCCUCAUUUUUGGUUCCGCCCCAUCACAGUCACUCCGCCACACCUGUUGACUCGAUGAAUAUUUCAGUGUACUCACACUUUCAUUAACACUGGAUCUCUCCACUUCUCUUCCAGAUAACCGACAUCCGACACAACUGGCAGCACGAUCUCCUUCCUGCAAUCCUAGCAGAUCUUCAAUGUGUGUUAACUUCACAUCACACAAUGCAUCUGAACACAAUGCUCCAAUAAAGAUAUUCGUAUACUCAGCCCUGUAUGUGUAUCUCUCUUUGCCCAAGCUCCGCAGUACACCAUACACUCUCUCUCCAACUCUCUCCUCCGCUCCGUUGCGCCCACAGUAACUACUGGGAAUCACCAGGCCCUUCCUGUGUGCCCUAUUUAUGUGUCUCCUCUUCACCAAAUUGCCCAAUCAGUGAUCGCCACGCUCAACAAGACACCCGUUCCCAAUAGCACGCCGAUUUGUGUUCGCCGGCUUUCCCGGAAGUGGCGGUGUUUGCGAUAUAUGGUCCGGGCGGAACUAAUCUUCCUCAUUUUUGGUUCCGCCCCAUCACAGUCACUCCGCCACAAUUUCCUCUUAGUACUAC
rnacentral:lncRNA from 1 species